UCCCCAUUAGAUCCGUUCGUAACCUCCGACCGACCUCUUCGAUCAAUCGAAAGGGCUACAGGGAGAGCGUGAUUGCUACCGGGAUGGAUGCCUUCGGGGGGUUCUUCGUCGAUGAGAAGGCGAUCCGCGUGGAGAACAUCUUCUUGGAAUUCCUUAAGAGAUUCAAGCAUGAUCCAAACGCGGUGGAGCCGUUCUAUGAGGCGGAGAUCGAGGCCAUGCGGCACAAGGAAUCCACCACCAUGUACGUGGAUUUCUCCCAUGUCAUGCGCUUCAACGACGUCCUCCAGAAGGCCAUUUCAGAGGAGUACCUCAGAUUCGAGCCCUAUCUGCGGAAUGCUUGCAUGAGAUUCGUAAUGGAGCAGAAAUCGAGCGAGAACAGACAACCUAUCAUCGCAGAUGACAACCCUAACCGCGACAUAAAUGUCGCCUUCUACAACAUUCCAUUGUUAAAAAGGUUGAGGGACCUGACGACAUCAGAGAUUGGGAAGCUGACUUCUGUAAUGGGGGUCGUUACCCGGACAAGUGAGGUCCGGCCAGAGCUCCUGCAGGGGACCUUUAAGUGCCUUGAGUGUGGCGGAGUCAUUAAGAAUGUGGAACAGCAAUACAAGUAUACCGAGCCUAUAAUAUGCAUGAAUGCUACAUGUGCAAACCGAAAUAAGUGGGCAUUGCUUCGGCAAGAGAGCAAGUUCACAGAUUGGCAACGGGUAAGGAUGCAGGAGACAUCUAAAGAAAUACCUGCUGGUUCUCUUCCUCGAUCUUUGGAUGUUAUUCUCCGACAUGAGAUUGUUGAGAAGGCAAGGGCUGGAGACACGGUCAUCUUCACUGGCACAUUGGUUGCGGUGCCAGAUAUUAUGGCACUGACUUCCCCAGGUGAGAGAGCAGAAUGCAGGCGUGAAGCUCCUCAGCGUCAAAAUGUAUCCGGUGGCCAUGGAGGAGUCAGCGGUCUCAAGGCUUUGGGAGUAAGGGAUCUUUCAUAUCGCCUCGCUUUCAUUGCAAACUCAGUGCAGAUAGCAGAUGGUAGAGGGGAUGGAGACAUGAGAGACAGGAAGAUAGAUGUUGAUGACAGUGAUAAACAGGAGUUCACACAAGAAGAGGAAGAUGAGGUGAUGAGGAUGAGGAAUACCCCUGAUUUUUUCAAUAAAUUAGUUGACAGCAUAUGCCCCACGGUUUUUGGUCAUCAAGAAAUAAAGCGAGCAGUUUUGCUUAUGUUAUUGGGUGGUGUGCACAAGUUAACCCAUGAAGGAAUUAACCUUAGAGGUGAUAUCAAUGUGUGCAUAGUAGGAGAUCCAAGCUGUGCAAAGUCUCAGUUCCUAAAGUAUACUUCUAAUCUUGUACCCCGAUCUGUUUAUACAUCAGGAAAAUCCUCCUCUGCUGCAGGUUUGACAGCAACAGUGGCUAAAGAGCCAGAAACCGGGGAGUUCUGUAUUGAGGCAGGAGCUCUAAUGCUUGCAGACAAUGGUAUAUGUUGCAUAGAUGAAUUUGAUAAAAUGGACAUUAGGGACCAGGUUGCUAUACACGAAGCAAUGGAGCAGCAGACUAUAAGUAUCACCAAAGCAGGUAUACAAGCCACGUUGAAUGCAAGAACUUCAAUUUUGGCAGCAGCAAAUCCUACUGGAGGACGCUAUGACAAGUCAAAGCCCCUUAAGUACAAUGUGGCCCUUCCUCCUGCUAUUCUUUCAAGAUUUGAUCUGGUGUACAUUAUGAUCGAUGAACCAGACGAAAACACAGACUACCAUAUUGCUCAUCACAUUGUGAGAGUUCAUCAGAAGAGGGAGGAUGCACUUGCCCCUGCAUUUACAACUGCAGAGUUAAAGCGAUACAUAGCAUAUGCUAAGUCUCUGAAACCUCAGCUUAGUUCGGAAGCAAAAAAUGUGCUAGUGGAAUCAUAUGUAGCUCUUCGUAGAGGUGAUAGUACUCCUGGAACCAGAGUGGCCUACAGAAUGACAGUUAGGCAACUUGAGGCAUUGAUCAGGCUUUCUGAAGCAAUUGCUAGGAGUCAUUUGGAGAAUGUGGUGCUCCCAGCCCAUGUUCGCAUGGCAGUAAGACUCCUAAAAACAUCCAUAAUCAGUGUUGAAUCUAGUGAGAUCGAUCUUUCUGAUUUCCAAGAUCAUGAAGAUGGUGUUGCAGUCAAUGUUCCUGAUCAAGAUGCUGCAGAGUUGGCUUCUGAUGGAAUUGAUCCAGCAACAGAAAAUGGAGGUAAUGAACAAGGAUCUGAGAGUCAUCAGAAAAAGAAACUUGUUAUAACCGAAGAACACUUUCAGAGAGUUACCCAAGCCCUUGUUAUGCGUCUGCGGCAACAUGAGGAGGCAGUAGCGCAAGAUGGAAGUGGUUUGGCUGGAAUGAAGCAGGGGGAUCUAAUUAUUUGGUACGUGGAGCAGCAGAAUGCCGUAGGUGCUUACAGUAACACCGAUGAGGUCCGGGAAGAAGUCAAGUGCAUCAAAGCCAUUAUAGAGAGGUUGAUACAGAGGGAAGGCCAUCUGAUAGUGAUAGAUGAUGGAACGAGCUCAGCAGCGUCGGAUGGUCAAGCAAGAAGAUCGAGUGAGAACCGAAUUCUGGCAGUGGCUCCAAAUUAUAUUGUCGAGUAGGGGCAUCUGCAAGUGCAGGCUGCAGUCCUUUUUAGAGAUUUCUACAUAUAGGAAGACUCGGGAUGGGACAAUUAGAGGCCUUGUGUAUUAACUAAUUACUACCGCAAUGCUCCUCCGUCCAGCUCUAUGCGAGAGUUUGUACCACUAGCGGCAGGGCUCAUUUGUUCUCGUUCUGCUUCUAACGCCGCGCCAGCCCAGUCUCUUCUUAGCCUCUGCUCCUCCCGUCGUCUAGAGAUAGCCUCCAAGAACCUGUGGAGAGUGGGGCAACGACCAGAUGACGAAGAGGGCGCGCAAGGAAGACGGGAGCGAGGCCAGGAAGAAGGCCAAGCGGAUGAGGGUUGAUGGCGGAGGAGGCGGAGAGAAGACGAGCGACGAGAUGACAUUGAAGAAGCUAGGCAUCAAGAGAAUCAUCUGGAAAGUCAACGGCAAAGUGGAAGGCAUCUCGAAGCUAUACGAUGAAGCGGCCGAGGAGGAGGAGGAGGAGCGCGGUUCAAGAACCGCUAAGCGCCAGAGGACUGGGGCGGCCACGAUCGCCGAUGGCUGCGGCCCCAGCGUGAGCAAGAGCACGAGCACCUCCUCCACCGUCGUCGACGAACAACGCCGACAACCACGUCAUGUGACGUCGUUGCCGAUGGAAGCUCGGGUCAAUGACCCUGUUUGCGUUAUGCGGAAGAGGAUCGCCCAGAGCGACAUCGAGAGGCAGCAGCAUCGGCUCCUCCUGCCCGUAAAUCAAGUCAACAAACCAAUGCUCCAAGGCAUGAUGACCGCCGCGGAGAAGACGCGGACGACGGAGAAGAGCGGCCUCCCGAUCAAGAUUCUCGACGGGGCGGGGAGGGAGUACAACCUCAUCCUCAAGUUCAUCCCAUCCAUCAAGACCUACCGCAUCAUGGGACCCGACUACACGAAUCUGGUGGACGACAACGGGAUUCAAACGGGCCACUUUCUUGAUCUCUGGGUGUACCGAGUGGGGCGGAGAGGCAGCGGCGACGGCAUAGCCAACGAAGCCGGCGAGCUCAGGAUGGCCAUAAUAAACAAUGCAAAGCCCGAAGAGGAGGAGGAGGAGGACGAUCGAGAAUGCGCUUUGGCCGACGAAUCUGGAAACGCAGGAGGCAGCGUUUCCGACGGUCUACCGCAUGAGCUCAGCGAUGAAGAGAUGGAGGUAGCAACCGCGCUAGUGAGCUUGAGCCAUGGCAAUGGUGCCGAUGAACGGGAGGCGGCACGCAUACUAGUGUGGAUGAGCCAUCGCGGGCUUCCACAGUGACAUCGUCGUGGUUGUGGAGUGCAAAGACUCCAUAUAUUACAUAUACUCGAUACAUUCACAAUUAAGAGA